rnacentral:rRNA from 1 species
UACGUAGGGUGCGAGCGUUAAUCGGAAUUACUGGGCGUAAAGCGCGCGUAGGCGGCUUUUCAAGUCGAUUGUGAAAUCCCCGGGCUUAACCUGGGAACUGCAGUCGAGACUGUCUAGCUAGAGUAUGGGAGAGGGAAGUGGAAUUCCAGGUGUAGCGGUGAAAUGCGUAGAUAUCUGAAGGAACAUCAGUGGCGAAAGCGACUUCCUGGACCAAUACUGACGCUCAUGUGCGAAAGCGUGGGGAGCAAACAGG